CGGAAACCGGGGCUAAUACCGGAUAAUACAUGAAACCGCAUGGUUUCAUGAUGAAAGACGGUUUUGCUGUCACUUAUAGAUGGACCCGCGGCGUAUUAGCUAGUUGGUAAGGUAACGGCUUACCAAGGCAACGAUACGUAGCCGACCUGAGAGGGUGAUCGGCCACACUGGAACUGAGACGCGGUCCAG
rnacentral:rRNA from 1 species